rnacentral:lncRNA from 1 species
ACUCUUCUCUCGUUCCCAGUAUCGAAGUUUUUGUCAGUAUGCGCUCGACAGCAUUACCUUAGACUAAGUACAGUAUACUGAGUACUCCAGUCCAUCAUAUGAGCAUAGUGCGUAACUGUAAUGGGUCCAAAAGAAAUAACUGGCAGAGUUAAAGUGAGAAAGCCUCCUGCUCCCACACUGUCCCACUCCUGUGUCCGGUGACCUGAGGAUCUCAAAUGCACUGCAUCUUCAUCGUGGGUCGAGGUGAGCCAGAACCAAACCCGGCAACUCAGGACGUAAGGCUGGAGGGAGAGGGGACAGUUGCAGGAUGGGACGCCAGGCCAUCACAAGGCACCCCGAGCAGGACUCGAACCCCAGACCCACCAGAGAGCAGGACCCAGCCAAGCCCACUGUGCCACCGUACCCUCUCUCUACAGUACAUAUAUAUACUGUAUAUAUAGAUAUAUAUAUGUCAC